rnacentral:rRNA from 2 species
UGAGGAAUAUUGCGCAAUGGACGAAAGUCUGACGCAGCCAUGCCGCGUGCAGGAUGACGGCCCUAUGGGUUGUAAACUGCUUUUGUAUGGGAAUAAACCCUUCUACGUGUAGAAGGCUGAAGGUACCAUAAGAAUAAGCACCGGCUAACUCCGUGCCAGCAGCCGCGGUAAUACGGAGGGUGCAAGCGUUAUCCGGAUUUAUUGGGUUUAAAGGGUCCGUAGGCGGGCCGAUAAGUCAGUGGUGAAAGCCCAUAGCUCAACUAUGGAACUGCCAUUGAUACUGUCGGUCUUGAGUAUAUGUGAUGUUGGCGGAAUGUGUAGUGUAGCGGUGAAAUGCUUAGAUAUUACACAGAACACCGAUUGCGAAGGCAGCUGACAAAUAUAUAACUGACGCUGAGGGACGAAAGUGUGGGGAUCAAACAGG